CUGAUCAAAAAUAUAUAUAUUGUAUUUUGUCGGAAAAGCUUCCUUCCACCACGACGCGUGCAACAAUAGGUUAUUCUAUGAUAUAGUCCAUACAAAUUAAUAGUCCACCCGGGAGCGCAUUGAAAUAUAAGACGGUUUUUUCUAACAGCAGAAUCUGUUAUUAACUAUUUAUUUUGCAGGACGAAAGUAAUACAUAUGCAUAUCACACUGACGACCAUCCACUAACGUUUUCAGGGAAUCUCCCAGCUAUUCCAUCAUCUAUUGGGCACGUUCCUAAUAGGCUAUUCACACUGACGACCAUCCACCAUCCAUUUCGGGGAUGAUUCGUAAGGUUUGCCGUUCCGAAAAUUUCCCAGUUAGUCCACCAUCCAUUUUGGAUGUUCCUAAGCCGCACGUUUCUACGCGAUAGUUAGCCGAUGGUUUUCAAAUGCAACUCUGAAUAAUUGUCAUUCACAACGAAAAAAAGAAAUUCACUACAAAAACGCGAACAAUGAUUGCGACAAAAUAAGCAAAAAACAACAACAAUCAGGCCCAAUGGCUCGAAUACAUUCAAGGCUGGCGAUGAGAUUGACUCGGCAUGGCCGAGUCUGCCAGGCUGAAGUUGCAAGUGUGUGGCGAAUAAAUGGCAGACGACUGACAACAUGGAACAAAUAUUUAUAUGCUCUAUAAAUGCUUUAUGUUAUGCAUAAUGUAUUCUUUAAUAAUGAGUUUUUUUUAAACAUUAUCGAAUUGGAUCUGGACGGAUCACCUUUUCUGGCAACAAAGGCCCCCGCCAAAGCGAACCAAAAAAUUCAACACUUCUUGGAUGGCAGAGAUCGGCAGAAAGCGAUUCGAAGAGCAGAAGGACCUUCACAGCAAAGAUUUAUUGGAAGUGCAGAGAAAUAAAAAUAAAUAAGUUUAUAAUUUGCA
rnacentral:sRNA from 1 species